rnacentral:rRNA from 1 species
GACAGAGGGGGCAAGCGUUGCUCGGAAUCACUGGGCGUAAAGGGCGCGUAGGCGGGUCCGCAAGUCGAUCGUGAAAUCCUUCGGCUCAACUGAAGGGGGUCGGUCGAUACUGCGGGUCUUGAGGGAUGCAGAGGAGACUGGAAUUCCAGGUGUAGCGGUGAAAUGCGUAGAUAUCUGGAGGAACACCGGUGGCGAAGGCGGCAUCCUGGACCGGCAUUGACGCUGAGGCGCGAAAGCUAGGGGAGCAAACGGG